CUACGGGGGGCUGCAGUGGGGAAUAUUGGGCAAUGCACGCAAGUGUGACCCAGCAACGCCGCGUGAAGGACGAAGGCCGUAAGGUUGUAAACUUCGACAAGAUGGGAAGAAAAACUCUGUGUGGAGCAGAGCUUGACCGUACCAUCCUGAAGCCCCGGCUAACUACGUGCCAGCAGCCGCGGUAAUACGUAGGGGGCGAACGUUGUCCGGAUUUACUGGGUGUAAAGGGCGCGUAGGCGGGCCUAUAAGUCGGUGGUGAAAUCCUGCAGCUUAACUGCAGAACUGCCAUCGAUACUGUGGGUCUUGAGUUUAGGAGGGAGAAGCGAAAUUCCAGGUGUAGUGGUGAAAUACGCAGAUAUCUGGAAGAAUACCGGUGGCGAAGGCGGCUUCUUGGCCUAUAACUGACGCUCAGGCGCGAAAGCAUGGGGAUCAAACAGGAUUAGAUACCCCAGUAGUC
rnacentral:rRNA from 1 species